ACCUGCUCCGGGCGCUCUGCGUGGCGUCCGAGGCAUAAGAGACAGACUGUGCCCCGGGAAGCUCUGGGCACUUCAGGGUGUU
rnacentral:sRNA from 1 species